GAUAGCUCAAUAGGUAGAGCAGCGAGCUUCUAACUCGUCGGUUCAAGGUUCAAGUCCUUG
rnacentral:tRNA from 1 species